rnacentral:rRNA from 1 species
UAGGGAAUCUUCGGCAAUGGGGGCAACCCUGACCGAGCAACGCCGCGUGAGUGAAGAAGGUUUUCGGAUCGUAAAGCUCUGUUGUAAGAGAAGAACGUGUGUGAGAGUGGAAAGUUCACACAGUGACGGUAACUUACCAGAAAGGGACGGCUAACUACGCCCCAG